rnacentral:rRNA from 1 species
GGCAAAUGCAAAGUUAAUUGGGCCAAGGUUUGCUCCCCGCUAGACAGAGGAGGGCUUGGUGUUAUGGACAUAGAGCGUUUUGGCCGCGCGUUGCGUCAAAGAUGGCUGUGGUUGGCCUGGAAACACCCGGAACGGCCCUGGGUGGGAAUGGAGGUGCCAUGUUCGGAGACAGACAAGGAUUUCUUC